rnacentral:rRNA from 1 species
AGUUUGAUCCUGGCUCAGGAUGAACGCUGGCGGCGUGCUUAACACAUGCAAGUCGAGCGAAGCGUAUUUGCGGAAGUUUUCGGAUGGAAGCGGAUGCGGCUUAGCGGCGGACGGGUGAGUAACGCGUGGGUAACCUGCCUCAUACAGGGGGAUAACAGUUAGGAAUGACUACUAAUACCGCAUAAGCGCACAGGACCGCAUGGUCCGGUGUGAAAAACUCCGGUGGUAUGAGAUGGACCCGCGUCUGAUUAGCUGGUUGGCGGGGUAACGGCCCACCAAGGCGACGAUCAGUAGCCGACCUGAGAGGGUGGCCGGCCACAUUGGGACUGAGACACGGCCCAAACUCCUACGGUAGGCAGCAGUGGGGAAUAUUGCACAAUGGGGGAAACCCUGAUGCAGCAACGCCGCGUGAGUGAAGAAGUAUUUCGGUAUGUAAAGCUCUAUCAGCAGGGAAGAAAAAAGACGGUACCUGACUAAGAAGCCCCGGCUAACUACGUGCCAGCAGCCGCGGUAAUACGUAGGGGGCAAGCGUUAUCCGGAUUUACUGGGUGUAAAGGGAGCGUAGACGGCAUAGCAAGUCUGAAGUGAAAGCCCGUGGCUCAACCGCAGAACUGCUUUGGAAACUGUUAAGCUGGAGUACUGGAGAGGCAAGCGGAAUUCCUAGUGUAGCGGUGAAAUGCGUAGAUAUUAGGAGGAACACCAGUGGCGAAGGCGGCUUGCUGGACAGAGACUGACGUUGAGGCUCGAAAGCGUGGGGAGCAAACAGGAUUAGAUACCCUGGUAGUCCACGCGGUAAACGAUGAAUGCUAGGUGUUGGCGGGCAAAGCCCGUCGGGUGCCGCCGCAAACGCAUUAAGCAUUCCACCUGGGGAGUACGUUCGCAAGAAUGAAACUCAAAGGAAUUGACGGGGACCCGCACAAGCGGUGGAGCAUGUGGUUUAAUUCGAAGCAACGCGAAGAACCUUACCAAGUCUUGACAUCCCAAUGAAUGUCUGGUAAAGCAGGCAGACCUUCGGGACAUUGGAGACAGGUGGUGCAUGGUUGUCGUCAGCUCGUGUCGUGAGAUGUUGGGUUAAGUCCCGCAACGAGCGCAACCCUUAUCCUUAGUAGCCAGCGAGCAGAGUCGGGCACUCUGGGGAGACUGCCAGGGAGAACCUGGAGGAAGGUGGGGAUGACGUCAAAUCAUCAUGCCCCUUAUGAUUUGGGCUACACACGUGCUACAAUGGCGUAAACAAAGGGAAGCGAAGUGGCGACAUGGAGCGAACCCCAAAAAUAACGUCUCAGUUCGGAUUGUAGUCUGCAACUCGACUACAUGAAGCUGGAAUCGCUAGUAAUCGCGGAUCAGAAUGCCGCGGUGAAUACGUUCCCGGGUCUUGCACUCACCGCCCGUCA